AUUGGACGCUGGCGGCAGGCCUAACACAUGCAAGUCGAGCGGAUGAAGGGAGCUUGCUCCUGGAUUCAGCGGCGGACGGGUGAGUAAUGCCUAGGAAUCUGCCUGGUAGUGGGGGAUAACGUCCGGAAACGGGCGCUAAUACCGCAUACGUCCUGAGGGAGAAAGUGGGGGAUCUUCGGACCUCACGCUAUCAGAUGAGCCUAGGUCGGAUUAGCUAGUUGGUGGGGUAAAGGCCUACCAAGGCGACGAUCCGUAACUGGUCUGAGAGGAUGAUCAGUCACACUGGAACUGAGACACGGUCCAGACUCCUACGGGAGGCAGCAGUGGGGAAUAUUGGACAAUGGGCGAAAGCCUGAUCCAGCCAUGCCGCGUGUGUGAAGAAGGUCUUCGGAUUGUAAAGCACUUUAAGUUGGGAGGAAGGGCAGUAAGUUAAUACCUUGCUGUUUUGACGUUACCAGCAGAAUAAGCACCGGCUAACUUCGUG
rnacentral:rRNA from 1 species